CCUACGGGCGGCAGCAGUGGGGAAUAUUGGACAAUGGGGGGAACCCUGAUCCAGCCAUGCCGCGUGUGUGAAGAAGGCCCUCGGGUUGUAAAGCACUUUCAGUGAGGAAGAACGCCUGGUGGUUAAUACCCAUCAGGAAAGACAUCACUCACAGAAGAAGCACCGGCUAACUCCGUGCCAGCAGCCGCGGUAAUACGGAGGGUGCGAGCGUUAAUCGGAAUUACUGGGCGUAAAGCGCGCGUAGGUGGCUUGAUAAGCCGGUUGUGAAAGCCCCGGGCUCAACCUGGGAACGGCAUCCGGAACUGUCAAGCUAGAGUGCAGGAGAGGAAGGUAGAAUUCCCGGUGUAGCGGCGAAAUGCGUAGAGAUCGGGAGGAAUACCAGUGGCGAAGGCGGCCUUCUGGACUGACACUGACACUGAGGUGCGAAAGCGUGGGUAGCAAACAGGAUUAGAUACCCCGGUAGUC
rnacentral:rRNA from 1 species